rnacentral:rRNA from 1 species
AUGAACGCUGGCGGCGUGCCUAAUACAUGCAAGUCGAGCGAACAGACGAGGAGCUUGCUCCUCUAACGUUAGCGGCGGACGGGUGAGUAACACGUGGAUAACCUACCUAUAAGACUGGGAUAACUUCGGGAAACCGGAGCUAAUACCGGAUAAUAUAUUGAACCGCAUGGGUUCAAUAGUGAAAGACGGUUUUGCUGUCACUUAUAGAUGGAUCCGCGCCGCAUUAGCUAGUUGGUAAGGUAACGGCUUACCAAGGCAACGAUGCGUAGCUG